rnacentral:rRNA from 1 species
UACGAAGGGGGCUAGCGUUGCUCGGAAUCACUGGGCGUAAAGGGCGCGUAGGCGGCCAUUCAAGUCGGGGGUGAAAGCCUGUGGCUCAACCACAGAAUUGCCUUCGAUACUGUUUGGCUUGAGUUUGGUAGAGGUUGGUGGGACUGCGAGUGUAGAGGUGAAAUUCGUAGAUAUUCGCAAGAACACCAGUGGCGAAGGCGGCCAACUGGACCAAUACUGACGCUGAGGCGCGAAAGCGUGGG